UUUUCCAUUUAAAAAAAUAACUUGUUUUCCCUUUCCUGCUUUAGACUGCCACUAUCUUAAAUGCUGCAGGACAUGGAUCCGCCGGUAAUAGUGGGAGAGAAGAUGCUGCAGUCACCAGCGAAAAAACCUGAAGACAUCACUUUACCCCCCUCCCCCUCCUCAGAGCACAUACAGCGCUUGAGUUAAUAAAGGGUUGAUUAUCAACUUCCAGAAUGUGAA